UACGUAGGGGGCUAGCGUUGUCCGGAAUCAUUGGGCGUAAAGCGCGUGUAGGCGGUUCGGUAAGUCCGCUGUGAAAGUCGGGGGCUCAACCCUCGGAUGCCGGUGGAUACUGUCGGACUAGAGUGCGGAAGAGGCGAGUGGAAUUCCUGGUGUAGCGGUGAAAUGCGCAGAUAUCAGGAGGAACACCGGUGGCGAAGGCGGCUUUCUGGACGACAACUGACGCUGAGACGCGAAAGCGUGGGGAGCAAACAGG
rnacentral:rRNA from 1 species